UUGAGCCGAGAUGCCCGGAAAGCGGGCACGUCCGGUUCUGAGGGGGCCCUGGUGCAGCAAUGCACCGGGGCUACCCGAC
rnacentral:ncRNA from 1 species